GAUGAAGAACGUAGCGAAAUGCGAUACUUGGUGUGAAUUGCAGAAUCCCGUGAACCAUCGAGUCUUUGAACGCAAGUUGCGCCCGAAGCCAUUAGGCCGAGGGCACGCCCGCCUGGGCGUCACACGUCGUUGCCCCCCCAUCUACUCCUUCGGGAUUGCGGGGGGCGGAUGAUGGCCUCCCGUGCGCCUCGCCGCGCGGUUGGCAUAAAUGCCAAGUCCUCGGCGACGCACGCCACGACAAUCGGUGGUUGCGAAACCUCGGUUGCCCGUCGUGUGCGGUCGUCGCGCAUCGAGGGCUCGAAAAAAUUGCCGGGUUCCGGCUCGGCUUUCAACGCGACCCCAGGUCAGGCGGGGUUACCCGCUGAAUUUAAGCAUAUCAAUAAGCGGAGGA
rnacentral:misc_RNA from 1 species